CUCUCUUUCUUCUCCUUCUUGUUUCUUUUCAUUUCCUUUCUUUCUCUCUCUCUAAACCGAUUGGUGGAGUUGGGUUUUUCUUGAUGGUUUGAGCUAAGAGGAAGGUCCAGGAGCUGAGAGCAGCUUGUGGGAGCUUCCAAGUUAAGCGAACACGUUGCGAAGUCGGUUCGGCAAUCCGUCGAGCCUACGCGAAGAUAUCGCCAAAAGGGACGUUUCGGCUUCAAUUGUUGCGAACGCAGAUCGCGGUUCUUGGGAGAGUGCGGGAAGUGGAUUUCUCGCUUUCCGGUAUCAAGUAAAGAGAGAGAAAGGGAAGGAGAAGAAGGAGAAGGAGAGGAGA